GUUUGAUCAUGGCUCAGAACGAACGCUGGCGGCAGGCCUAACACAUGCAAGUCGAGCGCGCCCUUCGGGGUGAGCGGCGGACGGGUGAGUAACGCGUGGGAACGUGCCCUUUGCUACGGAAUAGUCUCGGGAAACUGGGGGUAAUACCGUAUGAGCCCUUCGGGGGAAAGAUUUAUCGGCAAAGGAUCGGCCCGCGUUGGAUUAGGUAGUUGGUGGGGUAAUGGCUCACCAAGCCGACGAUCCAUAGCUGGUUUGAGAGGAUGAUCAGCCACACUGGGACUGAGACACGGCCCAGACUCCUACGGGAGGCAGCAGUGGGGAAUCUUAGACAAUGGGCGCAAGCCUGAUCUAGCCAUGCCGCGUGAGCGAUGAAGGCCUUAGGGUUGUAAAGCUCUUUCGUGGGGGAAGAUAAUGACUGUACCCCAAGAAGAAGCCCCGGCUAACUCCGUG
rnacentral:rRNA from 1 species